rnacentral:rRNA from 1 species
GACGAACGCUGGCGGCGUGCUUAACACAUGCAAGUCGAACGGAAAGGCCAGGCUUUUGCGGGGCGCUCGAGUGGCGCAGGGGUGAGUAACACGUGAGUAACCCGCACUUGAAUUUGGGAUAACUUCAGGGAACUGGGGCUCAUACCGGGUAGGAGCUCCUGCAGCAUGGGGGGGGUUGGAAAGAUUCGGCGGUUGGGGCUGGACUCGAGGGUUAUCCGCUUGUUGGGGGAGUAGUGGCUUACCAAGGCUUUGACGGGUAGCCGGCCUGGGAGGGUGACCGGCCUCAUUGGGACUGAGAGACGGCCCAGACGCCAACGGUAGGCAGCAGGGGGGAAUAUUGCAGAAUGGGCGGAAGCCUGAUGCAGCAGCCCCGCGUUCGGGAAACCGGCUUUCGGGUGGAAAACCGCUUUCUCCUGAGACAAAGCCUGCUUGACGGUAACUAGUAAAAAAGCACCGGCUAACUACGUG